rnacentral:rRNA from 1 species
GAUAGAGGCCUACCAUGGUGGUAACGGGUAACGGGGUGUUAGGGCACGACACCGGAGAGGGAGCCUGAGAAACGGCUACCACAUCCAAGGAUGGCAGCAGGCGCGCAAAUUACCCAAUCCCGACACGGGGAGGUAGUGACAAUAAAUAACAAUACGGGGUUCUUAUGGAUCUCGUAAUUGGAAUGAGUACAAUUUAAAUCUCUUAACGAGGAACAAUUGGAGGGCAAGUCUGGUGCCAGCAGCCGCGGUAAUUCCAGCUCCAAUAGCGUAUAUUAAAGUUGUUGCAGUUAAAAAGCUCGUAGUUGAAUUUCGGGGUCAGUAGGUUGGUCAUGCCACUGGUAUGUACUGGUCUCACUGAUUCCUCCUUCCUGAUGAGCUGUAAUGCCAUUAAUUUGGUGUUGCGGGGAAUCUGGACUGUUACUUUGAAAAAAUUAGAGUGUUUAAAGCAGGCUAACGCCUGAAUACAUUAGCAUGGAAUAAUGAAAUAGGACGUUCGAUCCUAUUUUGUUGGUUUCUAGGAUUGACGUAAUGAUUAAUAGGGAUAGUUGGGGGCAUUAGUAUUCAAUUGUCAGAGGUGAAAUUCUUGGAUUUAUUGAAGACUAACUACUGCGAAAGCAUUUGCCAAGGAUGUUUUCAUUAAUCAAGAACGAAAGUUAGGGGAUCGAAGACGAUCAGAUACCGUCGUAGUCUUAACCAUAAACUAUGCCGACUAGGAAUCGGGCGAUGUUAUUCUCAUGACUCGCCCGGAGCCUUAUGGGAAC